AGAGUUUGAUCCUGGCUCAGGAUUUGAACGCUGGCGGCAUGCCUAACACAUGCAAGUCGAACGAAAGUAAGAGGGCAACCUUUUACUUUAGUGGCGGACGGGUGCGGAAUGCGUAGGAAUCUACCCUAAAGUGGGGGAUAACUCGGGGAAACUCGAGCUAAUACCGCAUAUGCUCUACGGAGUAAAGGGGGCGCAAGCUCUCGCUAUAGGAUGAGCCUACGUCGGAUUAGCUAGUUGGUGGGGUAACGGCCCACCAAGGCAAUGAUCCGUAGCUGGUCUGAGAGGAUGGCCAGCCACACUGGGACUGAGAUACGGCCCAGACUCCUACGGGAGGCAGCAGUGGGGAAUAUUGGACAAUGGGCGAAAGCCUGAUCCAGCAAUGCCGCGUGUGUGAAGAAGGCCUUCGGGUUGUAAAGCACUUUCAGUGGGGAAGAAAAGUUCAGGGCUAAUACCUCUGAGCAUUGACGUUACCUACAGAAGAAGCACCGGCUAACUCUGUGCCAGCAGCCGCGGUAAUAC
rnacentral:rRNA from 1 species